rnacentral:rRNA from 1 species
UAACAAGGUCUCCGUUGGUGAACCAGCGGAGGGAUCAUUACAGAGUUAUCCAACUCCCAAACCCAUGUGAACUUAUCUCUUUGUUGCCUCGGCGCAAGCUACCCGGGACCUCGCGCCCCGGGGGGCCCGCCGGCGGACAAACCAAACUCUGUUAUCUUCGUUGAUUAUCUGAGUGUCUUAUUUAAUAAGUCAAAACUUUCAACAACGGAUCUCUUGGUUCUGGCAUCGAUGAAGAACGCAGCGAAAUGCGAUAAGUAAUGUGAAUUGCAGAAUUCAGUGAAUCAUCGAAUCUUUGAACGCACAUUGCGCCCAUUAGUAUUCUAGUGGGCAUGCCUGUUCGAGCGUCAUUUCAACCCCUAAGCGCAGCUUAUUGUUGGGACCCUACGGCUUCGUAGUUCCCCAAAGACAUUGGCGGAGUGGCAGCAGUCCUCUGAGCGUAGUAAUUCUUUAUCUCGCUUUUGUUAGGCGCUGCCCCCCCGGCCGUAAAACCCCCAAUUUUUUCUGGUUGACCUCGGAUCAGGUAGGAAUACCCGCUGAACUUAAGCAUAUCAAUAAGCGGAGGA